rnacentral:rRNA from 1 species
GUGGGGAAUAUUGGACAAUGGGCGAAAGCCUGAUCCAGCCAUGCCGCGUGAGUGAUGAAGGCCUUAGGGUUGUAAAGCUCUUUCAGUAGGGAAGAUAAUGACGGUACCUACAGAAGAAGCCCCGGCUAACUUCGUGCCAGCAGCCGCGGUAAUACGAAGGGGGCUAGCGUUGUUUGGAUUUACUGGGCGUAAAGCGCACGUAGGCGGAUUGGUCAGUUAGAGGUGAAAUCCUGGAGCUCAACUCCAGAACUGCCUUUAAUACUGCCAGUCUAGAGUCCAGAAGAGGUGAGUGGAACUCCUAGUGUAGAGGUGGAAUUCGUAGAUAUUAGGAAGAACACCAGUGGCGAAGGCGGCUCACUGGUCUGGUACUGACGCUGAGGUGCGAAAGCGUGGGGAGCAAACAGGAUUAGAUACCCGAGUAGUCC